rnacentral:lncRNA from 1 species
UCCUAUCAAUGUCAAGCACUGGGAAGUCAAAACUGAUUUGCCAUCAGUGUCAUUACAAGACGUGGCGCGCGCAACUGUUAGUGGGAUUCAGAAGAACCAACACACCGUUGCAUAUCCCUUCUAUGUUUAUGCGCUGUGUCUUGCUGUGAAGUGUAUUCCGCAACCUGCAUCAGACUAUUGGUACGAAUCAUUCCAGGUUGAGCUAUCUGACAAAAAGGACUAGAAAGAAACGGACAUUUCAUGAAUGAAGCAGACCAAGUGUACUCAAUGCGAAAUAUUUCGAGGAUGGCUCGUCUCUUUUAGGAGGAGGCAUCUUUUAGAUUCAAACACUGAAGAAUUUCCCAAGAGCAAAAAUUCAAGGCUAAUAACUUAACAGGGCUAAACUUUGUGACAUUUAGCUUAACUUUUAGUUCACUAGACCCAGGUUCUCAUAAUAUUCCCUCCAUUUGAUAUCGCAACUCUAGUUGUUUUAAAUUUCAUUUAUUAGCCAUGAUGUCGCUAUAUUUUCAAAGGUUUUCAUCGCCGUGCGAGAGUAUCACCUCAUAUGUCUAGUUGCACAUGCACAGUGUGGACUUGAUUAAAAUACGGAAGUGCCGAAACAAUUACGUUUCUUAAAGGGUUCUCAGGGUGUCAGUGACCCUUAAUAAGUGUCCGCCUCAAAUUGCCCACAACUUAAAACCAAGGGCGAGGCGUGAAUGAUCGAUUAUCGAAAUGUCCCCAUUUGAAGCUAUGGUAAAGAAUCGAUUAUUCAGAGAUUAGUUGCGAAAACCUUGUUUAUCAGUGGCGUGGCUUGCUUUGCGAUUUAUCGAUUGAUCUGUCAUUUAACCCUACGGAAAAGGAUCGAUAAACAGGGUGCUCGCAACGAACACCUUCAUAAUCGAUUUUCUACCAUACUUUUAAAUGGGGGAAAAUAGAUAAUCGACCAAUCACGCCUCGUCACUGCUGUUGAUCUUUUCCCAUAGGUUUAAAUGGCAUAAGUUGUGCAAAAUGUGGUUUUGAGUAAUUUAUAGUUUCAUUUGUUAAAUUAUUUUAAUGUUGAUUCGCGUGUAUUAAAAACUGACUAAAAUUUUAAUUUAAAUAAAACUGUGAUCAUAAUUUUUCACCAUGGAUCAUUACUCUACAAUUACCACCUCGAUGUAAGUGAUUAAUUUAUAGAACUGAAUUAAUAAUAGAAUUGUACGUGUCUCCCUGUUGCACCAUUCUAUCACCGGAUGGAUGUAAUUUUUUUAAGGAAGUGUAAAUAGUUCAAUAAUAAAUUAUUAUAGGUAGUCAAUAUUCUGCAAUGUAAAAUGAUUGUUUCUGUUACUGCUUAUUUAAUUUUAAGGUUAUUUGCUCUGAUUUAAUGAUAGAAUAAAGUUUAAUUUAUUUGGUGCGUAACUUAUUGUCGGCUUUAUUUCUAGAUUUCCCUUCAAGAUUUUAAAUGCAUAUAGUUAUGGAAUUGAAAUCAAUGAAAUAUAAAUUAUAAAACAAUCAUUAGAAAACUGAUAAAACUUUUUGUGUAAUGAACAAGGUAAAUGUACUUGAAUGUAAAAUAUACUCAUUCAAACUUUGAGGGGUGUGCAGGGCCGGAUUUAGGGGGCGGCCACAUGGGCCGCACCCAUGGCGGCAAAUUUAGAGGGCAGCAAAUUUUGCAAUGAUUUUAAAUGUAGGUAUAAAAAAUCGGAUUCAGAAAAAAAAAAUUAGAAACGAGAAAAGACGAGAAAAUCUCUCAUUUCCUGAGAGUAUAGUAAUUUCUAAUUUUGUCGUCUAUCGGUGAUACAAGAGACAGCACCUUUAAUUAGUCGAGUUAAGAGAGAAACCAAACUCCCAAUUUGGCCUGGAGCGGCGCGGCACAAGCAAUGAUGACGAGGACUUGAGAUGAAAAGGAGAAGUCCUCGGCGCGGCGGUCGGCAUGUAAGCGCCUACAAGACUGCAUGAAUACUUCACGCAUUGCGUCAAACACUUUAAGGUCGGCAGCGGUCGGCGUGAAACGCAUAGCGCCUACAAGACUGCAUGAAUACUCCACGCAUUGCGCCAGACACAGUGCGGCAGCGCGGCGCGGCAGCGGAAGUUAAAAUUAUUAAACCAAAUUUAUGUUUGUUCUUUCAUAAUUUUUUCGUUAAUUUCUUAUAAUAGAAGGCCUUGUCCACACAGAGAUGGGUUAACGAAACUUAACUUUCGCGCAAAGUUCCGUGAACUUUAGCUACUAGUGUUGACAGGGCUUUCGCAAAAAUAGUGUCCA